rnacentral:rRNA from 1 species
GAUGAACGCUGGCGGCGUGCUUAACACAUGCAAGUCGAGCGAGAAGUUUUGAAAAGAUUCUUCGGAUGAAAUUUAAAAUGGAAAGCGGCGGACGGGUGAGUAACGCGUAGGCAACCUGCCCCAUACAAAGGGAUAGCAUUUGGAAACGAAUAUUAAUACCUUAUGAAACUUAACUAGUGCAUGCUAGGUAGGUCAAAGAUUUAUCGGUAUGGGAUGGGCCUGCGUCUGAUUAGCUAGUUGGUGAGGUAACGGCUCACCAAGGCGACGAUCAGUAGCCGACCUGGGAGGGUGAACGGCCACAUGGGAACUGAGACACGGUCCAAACUCCUACGGGAGGCAGCAGUGGGGAAGAUUGCACAAUGGGGGAAACCCUGAUGCAGCAACGCCGCUUGAACGAUGAAGGCCUUUGGGUCGUAAAGUUCUGUUCUAGGUGAUGAAAACUGACAGUAACCUAGGAGAAAGCCCCGGCUAACUCCGUG